rnacentral:tRNA from 1 species
UGGGCUGUAGCCAAGCGGUAAGGCAACGGACUUUGACUCCGUCAUUCGCAGGUUCGAAUCCUGCCAGCCCAG